rnacentral:rRNA from 1 species
AUUGAACGCUGGCGGCAGGCUUAACACAUGCAAGUCGAGCGGAGAUGAGGUGCUUGCACCUUAUCUUAGCGGCGGACGGGUGAGUAACGCUUAGGAAUCUGCCUAUUAGUGGGGGACAACAUUCCGAAAGGAAUGCUAAUACCGCAUACGUCCUACGGGAGAAAGCAGGGGAUCUUCGGACCUUGCUCUGAUAGAUGAGCCUAAGUCGAAUUAGCUAGUUGGUGGGGUAAAGGCCUACCAAGGCGACGAUCUGUAGCGGGUCUGAGAGGAUGAUCCGCCACACUGGGACUGAGACACGGCCCAGACUCCUACGGGAGGCAGCAGUGGGGAAUAUUGGACAAUGGGGGAAACCCUGAUCCAGCCAUGCCGCGUGUGUGAAGAAGGCCUUAUGGUUGUAAAGCACUUUAAGCGAGGGGGAGGCUACUGAGACUAAUACUCUUGGAUAGUGGACGUUACUCGCAGAAUAAGCACCGGCUAACUCUGUGCCAGCCGCCGCGGUAA